rnacentral:rRNA from 1 species
GAUGAACGCUGGCGGCGUGCCUAAUACAUGCAAGUCGAGCGAACAGACGAGGAGCUUGCUCCUCUGACGUUAGCGGCGGACGGGUGAGUAACACGUGGAUAACCUACCUAUAAGACUGGGAUAACUUCGGGAAACCGGAGCUAAUACCGUAUAAUAUAUUGAACCGCAUGGUUCAAUAGUGAAAGACGGUUUUGCUGUCACUUAUAGAUGGAUCCGCGCCGCAUUAGCUAGUUGGUAAGGUAACGGCUUACCAAGGCAACGAUGCGUAGCCGACGUGAGAGGGGGAUAGGCCACCCUGGAACUGAGACACGGUCAAGACGCCUACGGGAGGCAGCAGUAGGGAACCGUCCGCAAUGGGCGAAAGCAUGGCGGAGCAACGCCGCGUGAGUGAUGAAGGUCUUCGGAUCGUAAAACUCUGUUAUUAGGGAAGAACAAAUGUGUAAGUAACUAUGCACGUCUUGACGGUACCUAAUCAGAAAGCCACGGCUAACUACGUG